AGCUGGUCUGAGUGCAGUGUUGUUUGCAACUAAUUGAUCACAAUCAGUCAUAGAUUUCUUUGUUCCUUCUCCACUCCCGCUGUCUCUAUUUUUUAGUUGAGCUAUU
ensembl:misc_RNA Y_RNA Y RNA